GCGAGUAUGGCGGAACUGGCAGACGCACCAGAUUUAGGUUCUGGCGGAGAGAUCCAUGCAGGUUCGAUUCCUGUUACUCGCA
rnacentral:tRNA from 1 species